AUUGAACGCUGGCGGCAGGCCUAACACAUGCAAGUCGAGCGGAGCGGCGGACGGGUGAGUAAUGCCUAGGAAUCUGCUUGGUAGUGGGGGAUAACGUCCGGAAACGGGCGCUAAUACCGCAUACUAUCAGAUGAGCCUAGGUCGGAUUAGCUAGUUGGUGGGGUAAAGGCCUACCAAGGCGACGAUCCGUAACUGGGCUGAGAGGAUGAUCAGUCACACUGGAACUGAGACACGGCCCAGACUCCUACGGGAGGCAGCAGUUGGGAAUAUUGGACAAUGGGCGAAAGUCUGAUGCAGCAACGCCGCGUGUGUGAAGAAGGUCUUCGGAUUGUAAAGCACUUUUAUUUGUGAGGCGUUACUAACAGAAUAAGCACCGGCUAACUUCGUGCCAGCAGCCGCGGUAAUUC
rnacentral:rRNA from 1 species